GACAAGGUGCCUGUCUCACCGUGGUGAGGGAAGUCCUGUUUUGGGGUUGUCUGGCAAACUUCCUGUCUUAUUUUGAAAUUCUAAUCCUCUUAUUUCAGGCCACUUGCUCUUCCUGGUCUGAUGUCUCUCUUGAUUGCCUGAUUGUGCCCACCUGUGUCCCCCUCCCUCAGUUUUUCCUGGGUCCCGACUCUAGACGAGCGGUUCAUCCUGCGUCCCGACUCUAGACGAGCGGUCCAUCCUGGCUCCCGACUCUAGACGAGCGGUCCAUCCUGCGUCCCGACUAUAGACGAGCGGUCCAUCCUGGGUCCCGACUCUGGACAGCCAGUACUACAUCCAUGACCACCGGAUCGGACUUACUCCACAAGGGAGGGGGGGACAGAGGAGAAAAAGAAAAGAAACGGCAGAUCAACUGGUCUAAAAAGGGGGUCUAUUUUUAAGGCUAGAGUAUUCAAAUGAGUUUUAAGAUGAGAUUUGAAUACUUCUACUGAGGUAGCAUCUCAAACUGUUACCGGGAGGGCAUUCCAGAGUACUGGAGCCCGAACAGAAAACGCUCUAUAGUCCGCAGACUUUUUUGGGGCUCUGGGAAUCACUAAUAAUCACUAAUAAACAUGUAAAGAAGCCAAAUGAUUGGCUUUAGAUGAGAGUAAAUAAAACAAAACCGGCAUGUGCUGAACUGAACUCAGAAGAAGAUGACAUCUUCCUUGUUGAGGUCUUCUGUGCCGAUGUGGGUCUGGCUGCACCUUGGCCGGGUCACGGCGGGCUUUUGGAGAGGUGCCAGUCUGCAGGGCUUGGGUGUGUCGAGGAUUUGAUUAGAGAGCGUUAAAAAUGAUGAGUUGAUUUGACAGUGAUCCAGAACGUUCUUAUCUUUAAAUGUGUUCUGUCAGGUUUAUGCGUGUGAAGCAGCCAUUAAUCACACAGCCAAGAAUGGAACACUGACAGAGAGGCCGGGAAGUGUGUGUGUGCGUCUGUGGGAGAGAGAGAGAGAGUGUGUGUGUGUGUGUGUGUGUGUGUGUGUGUGUGUGUGUGUGUGUGUGUGUGUGUGUGUGUGUGUGUGUGUGUGUGUGUGUGUGUGUGUGUGCGUGCGU